GAGGAAUAAGCAUCGGCUAACUCCGUGCCAGCAGCCGCGGUAAUACGGGGGAUGCAAGCGUUAUCCGGAAUCAUUGGGCGUAAAGCGCCUGUAGGUUGUUUAAUAAGUCUGUUGUUAAAGACUAGGGCUUAACCCUAGAAAAGCAAUGGAAACUACUAGACUAGAGUAUGGCAGGGGUAGAGGGAAUUUCUAGUGUAGCGGUGAAAUGCGUAGAUAUUAGAAAGAACACCGGUGGCGAAAGCGCUCUACUGGACCAUUACUGACACUCAGAGGCGAAAGCUAGGGUAGCAAAAGGGAUUAGAUACCCCUGUAGUCCUAGCCGUAAACGAUGGAUACUACAUGUUGUGCAUUAUGUACAGUAUGGUAGCUAACGCGUUAAGUAUCCCGCCUGGGGAGUACGCUCGCCAGGGUGAAACUCAAAGGAAUUGACGGGGGCCCGCACAAGCGGUGGAGCAUGUGGUUUAAUUCGAUGCAACGCGAAGAACCUUACCAGGACUUGACAUACUACAAAUUCUUUUGAGAAAAAGAAGUGCCUUCGGGAAUGUAGAUACAGGUGGUGCAUGGCUGUCGUCAGCUCGUGUCGUGAGAUGUUGGGUUAAGUCCCGCAACGAGCGCAACCCUUAUUUUUAGUUACCAAUUCGUUGGGUUCUCUAGAAAGACUGCCGGUGACAAACCGGAGGAAGGUGAGGAUGACGUCAAGUCAGCAUGCCCCUUAUGUCCUGGGCUACACACGUGCUACAAUGGUUAAGACAAAGAGUCGCGAGCUCGUGAGAGUCAGCUAAUCUCAUAAACUUAGCCCAAGUUCAGAUUGUAGGCUGCAACUCGCCUACAUGA
rnacentral:rRNA from 1 species